UGAGUAAUGCAUAGAUAAUGUGCCCAUUAGUUCGGGAUAGCCACUGGAAACGGUGAUUAAUACCGGAUACUCCUUCUUGUUAUAAGACAAGUCGGGAAAGUUUUUCGCUAAGGGAUCAGUCUAUGUUCCAUCAGCUUGUUGGUGAGGUAAUGGCUCACCAAGGCUAUGACGGAUAUCUGGUUUGAGAGGAUGAUCAGACACACUGGAACUGAGACACGGUCCAGACUCCUACGGGAGGCAGCAGUGAGGAAUAUUGCACAAUGGAGGAAACUCUGAUGCAGCAACGCCGCGUGGAGGAUGACGCAUUUCGGUGUGUAAACUCCUUUUAUUAGGGAAGAUAAUGACGGUACCUAAUGAAUAAGCACCGGCUAACUCCGUGCCAGCAGCCGCGGUAAUACGGAGGGUGCAAGCGUUACUCGGAAUCACUGGGCGUAAAGGGUGCGUAGGCUGGCUUUUAAGUCAGAUGUGAAAUCCAAUGGCUCAACCAUUGAACUGCAUUUGAAACUGAAAGCCUAGAGUUCAGAAGGGGCAGAUGGAAUUAGUGGUGUAGGGGUAAAAUCCGUAGAUAUCACUAGGAAUAUCAAAAGCGAAGGCGAUCU
rnacentral:rRNA from 1 species